GCGAAAUUCCUUGUCGGGUAAGUUCCGACCUGCACGAAUGGCGUAAUGAUGGCCACGCUGUCUCCACCCGAGACUCAGUGAAAUUGAAAUCGCUGUGAAGAUGCAGUGUACCCGCGGCUAGACGGAAAGACCCCGUGAACCUUUACUACAGCUUGGCACUGAACAUUGAACCUACAUGUGUAGGAUAGGUGGGAGGCUAUGAAGACGUGACGCCAGUUGCGUUGGAGCCGUCCUUGAAAUACCACCCUUGUAUGUUUGAUGUUCUAACUUAGACCCAUUAUCUGGGUUGAGGACAGUGCCUGGUGGGUAGUUUGACUGGGGCGGUCUCCUCCCAAAGAGUAACGGAGGAGCACGAAGGUGGGCUAAUCACGGUUGGACAUCGUGAGGUUAGUGCAAUGGCAUAAGCCCGCUUAACUGCGAGAAUGACGGUUCGAGCAGGUGCGAAAGCAGGUCAUAGUGAUCCGGUGGUUCUGUAUGGAAGGGCCAUCGCUCAACGGAUAAAAGGUACUCCGGGGAUAACAGGCUGAUACCGCCCAAGAGUUCAUAUCGACGGCGGUGUUUGGCACCUCGAUGUCGGCUCAUCACAUCCUGGGGCUGAAGUAGGUCCCAAGGGUAUGGCUGUUCGCCAUUUAAAGUGGUACGCGAGCUGGGUUUAGAACGUCGUGAGACAGUUCGGUCCCUAUCUGCCGUGGGCGUUGGAAGAUUGAAGGGGGCUGCUCCUAGUACGAGAGGACCGGAGUGGACGAACCUCUGGUGUUCGGGUUGUGUCGCCAGACGCAUUGCCCGGUAGCUAAGUUCGGAAUUGAUAAGCGCUGAAAGCAUCUAAGCGCGAAGCGAGCCCUGAGAUGAGUCUUCCCUGACAGUUUAACUGUCCUAAAGGGUUGUUCGAGACUAGAACGUUGAUAGGCAGGGUGUGUAAGCGUUGUGAGGCGUUGAGCUAACCUGUACUAAUUGCCCGUGAGGCUUAACCAU
rnacentral:rRNA from 1 species